UUGGUUUGUUUUUUCUUUGUUUUCAGAUGCAGAGCCCUGAGCCCAGGAGGCUCUAGGCACCGGAGGGGAGGUGAUCCUGGUGAGUACCGGUGAGCAAGGGGUUCUGCCACCUUCUCACAGACAGUCCAGUGCUUCAGGGACCCUGCCGGUAAGAGGUCACUGUGGAGGAGAGAGAAUGUGUGCAGCCUCAGAGGGCCGGAGCCACCUGCCAGUUAGGUUUGAUGGUCUUCAGCUGUCCUUGUGAGUAGUCUCCCAGUACUACGAGGCUCAUCAAUUAAGGCUCGACGUUU